AUGAACGUAAGGUCUCAAUCAUUUUAUAUCUGCUCUGUCUUGUACUCCUUACAAUGGUCACCCUCAGCCGGUUGAAGCAAUCCACCAUAGCCACGAGUUUUGUGGUUGCAUCUAUGUGUGAAGAGCAUGGAGCACAAUGCUUCGGAAUGGAUGCACUGAGCUGAUUUUAGCUUUUGCCGUAAUUAAGAUUAUGUUGCCUCUGUGUCAGGAAAGAGAACAAAAGUGGACCCACUUGCGCUGAUUUAACACUUUCCAUGGUCACGAGCUCUAUGGUUGCAUAUGUGUGCUAGGAGCGUGGAGACCAAU